CCUACGAGUGGCAGCAGUGGGGAAUAUUGCACAAUGGGGGAAACCCUGAUGCAGCGACGCCGCGUGAGUGAAGAAGUAAUUCGUUAUGUAAAGCUCUAUUAGCAGGGAAGAAAAUGACGGUACCUGAGUAAGAAUCCCCGGCUAACUACGUGCCAGCAGCCGCGGUAAUACGUAGGGGGCAAGCGUUAUCCGGAUUUACUGGGUGUAAAGGGAGCGUAGGCGGGAGUGCAAGUCUGGGGUGAAAGUGUGGGGCUCAACCCCCGGACUGGCCUGGAAACUGUACGGCUGGAGUGCAGGAGAGGUAAGUGGAAUGCCUGGUGUAGCGGUGAAAUGCGUAGAUAUUAGGAGGAACACCAGUGGCGAAGGCAGCUUACUGGACUGUAACUGACGUUGAGGCUCGAAAGCGUGGGGAGCAAACAGGAUUAGAUACCCCUGUAGUC
rnacentral:rRNA from 1 species